ensembl:snRNA U6 U6 spliceosomal RNA
GUGCUCACUUAGGCAGUACAUAUACUAAAAUUGGAAUAAUACUGGGAAGAUGAGCAUGGCACCUGUGCAAGGAUGACACACAAACUAGUCAAGAGUUCUAUAUUUUU